AUUGAACGCUGGCGGCAUGCUUUACACAUGCAAGUCGAACGGUAACAGGCCGCAAGGUGCUGACGAGUGGCGGACGGGUGAGUAAUGCAUCGGAACGUGCCCAGUCGUGGGGAUAACUACUCGAAAGAGUAGCUAAUACCGCAUACGAUCUAUGGAUGAAAGCGGGGGACCGUAAGGCCUCGCGCGAUUGGAGCGGCCGAUGUCAGAUUAGGUAGUUGGUGGGGUAAAGGCUCACCAAGCCAACGAUCUGUAGCUGGUCUGAGAGGACGACCAGCCACACUGGGACUGAGACACGGCCCAGACUCCUACGGGAGGCAGCAGUGGGGAAUUUUGGACAAUGGGCGCAAGCCUGAUCCAGCAAUGCCGCGUGCAGGAAGAAGGCCUUCGGGUUGUAAACUGCUUUUGUACGGAACGAAACGGCUCUGGUUAAUACCCGGGGCUAAUGACGGUACCGUAAGAAUAAGCACCGGCUAACUACGUG
rnacentral:rRNA from 1 species